rnacentral:rRNA from 1 species
CGAACGCUGGCGGCGUGCCUAAUACAUGCAAGUCGAGCGAAGUUUUUCUGGUGCUUGCACCGGAAAAACUUAGCGGCGAACGGGUGAGUAACACGUAAAGAACCUGCCUCAUAGACUGGGACAACUAUUGGAAACGAUAGCUAAUACCGGAUAAUAGCAUUAACUGCAUGGUUGAUGUUUAAAAGUUGGUUUUGCUAACACUAUGAGAUGGCUUUGCGGUGCAUUAGCUAGUUGGUGGGGUAAAGGCCUACUAAGGCGACGAUGCAUAGCCGACCUGAGAGGGUGAUCGGCCACACUGGGACUGAGACACGGCCCAGACUCCUACGGGAGGCAGCAGUAGGGAAUCUUCCGCAAUGGGCGAAAGCCUGACGGAGCAACGCCGCGUGAGUGAAGAAGGAUUUCGGUUCGUAAAGCUCUGUUGUUAGGGAAGAAUGAUUGUGUAGUAACUAUACACAGUAGAGACGGUACCUAACCAGAAAGCCACGGCUAACUACGUG